rnacentral:rRNA from 1 species
CGUGCCAGCAGCCGCGGUAAUACGUAGGUGGCAAGCGUUGUCCCGGAUUUAUUGGGCGUAAAGCGAGCGCAGGCGGUUUUUUAAGUCUGAUGUGAAAACCCUCGGCUCAACCGAAGAAGUGCAUUGGAAACUGGGAAACUUGAGUGCCGAAGAGGACAGUGGAACUCCAUGUGUAGCGGUGAAAUGGGUAGAUAUAUGGAAGAACACCAGUGGCGAAGGCGGCUUUUUGGUCUGUAACUGACGGUGAGGCUUGAAAGUAUGGGUAGCAAACAGGAUUAGAUACCCUGGUAGUCCCUACCGUAAACGAUGAAUGCUAAGUGUUGGAGGGUUUCCGCCCUUCAGUGCUGCAGCUAACGCCUUAAGCAUUCCGCCUGGGGAGUACGGCCGCAAGGGUGAAACUCAAAGGAAUUGACGGGGGCCCGCACAAGCGGUGGAGCAUGUGGUUUAAUUUGAAGCUACGCGAAGAACCUUACCAGGUCUUGACAUACUAUGCAAAUCUAAGAGAUUAGACGUUCCCUUUGGGGACAUGGAUACAGGUGGUGCAUGGUUGUUGUCAGCUCGUGUCGUGAGAUGUUGGGUUAAGUCCCGCAACGAGCGCAACCCUUAUUAUCAGUUGCCAGCAUUAAGUUGGGCACUUUGGUGAGACUGCCGGUGACAAACCGGAGGAAGGUGGGGAUGACGUCAAAUCAUCAUGCCCCUUAUGACCUGGGCUACACACGUGCUACAAUGGAUGGUACAACGAGUUGCGAACUCGCGAGAGUAAGCUAAUCUUUUAAAGCCAUUUUCAGUUCGGAUUGUAGGGUGCAACUUGCCUACAUGAAGUCGGAAUCGCUAGUAAUCGCGGAUCAGCAUGCCGCGGUGAAUACGUUCCCGGGCCUUGUACACCCCGCCCGGCACCCCCUGAGAGUUUGUAACACCCAAAGUCG